CCCUGUAUUCGAAAGUGAUUGUGGGCUGCCUGUGCCCUGGUCAUUGAUACUGCAGGGAGAGGAUAUGGAAAGCCUUUCCCUGUGUUUGGAGGGUCUACUCCUGUCCUUGACAAGCCUUAUUUUUUUUUUAAA
ensembl:snoRNA SNORA71 Small nucleolar RNA SNORA71